AGGAAAAGAAACCAACAGGGAUUACCUCAGUAACGGCGAGUGAAGCGGUAACAGCUCAAAUUUGAAAUCUGGCAGCAAUGUCCGAGUUGUAAUUUGUAGAGGAUGUUUCGAGCAUGGUCUGGCCUAAGUUCCUUGGAACAGGACGUCAUAGAGGGUGAGAAUCCCGUAUGCGGUCAGGUGCCUACGCUCAUGUGAAACUCCUUCGACGAGUCGAGUUGUUUGGGAAUGCAGCUCAAAAUGGGUGGUAAAUUUCAUCUAAAGCUAAAUAUUGGCCAGAGACCGAUAGCGCACAAGUAGAGUGAUCGAAAGAUGAAAAGCACUUUGGAAAGAGAGUUAAACAGUACGUGAAAUUGUUGAAAGGGAAGCGCUUGCAACCAGACUUGCACGCAGCUGAUCAUCCGCUGUUCUCAGUGGUGCACUCGGUUGCGUUCAGGCCAGCAUCGGUUUUGGUGGUGGGAUAAAGGCCUUAGGAAUGUAGCUGCUUUCGGGCAGUGUUAUAGCCUAGGGUGCAAUGCCGCCUACUGGGACCGAGGACCGCGCUUCGGCUAGGAUGCUGGCGUAAUGGUUGUAAGCGACCCGUCUUGAAACACGGACCAAGGAGUCUAACAUCUAUGCGAGUGUUUGGGUGUCAAACCCAUACGCGUAAUGAAAGUGAACGGAGGUCAGAACCCUUAAGGGUGCAUGAUCGACCGGUCCUGAAGUCUUCGGAUGGAUCUGAGUAAGAGCAUAGCUGUUGGGACCCGAAAGAUGGUGAACUAUGCCUGAAUAGGGUGAAGCCAGAGGAAACUCUGGUGGAGGCUCGCAGCGGUUCUGACGUGCAAAUCGAUCGUCAAAUUUGGGUAUAGGGGCGAAAGACUAA
rnacentral:rRNA from 1 species